CUUUUUUGAACUGUAACGGCUUUCAAUGCGUAGAAUAGAGAACAUUUAGGAGUCCACGGGAAACCGGUUCCUUUCAAAUCCAGUUGUCUUUGUGAUGGACUAUUGUGUGUAUGUCUGGUGUUGUUUUGAUUCUAUCUUCGAACAGAUUUUAACAUCUACUACCCUCUGUCUUACUGAGACAGACUAGGACCUGGGACCCUUUCCUGCAGUGUUUGCACCUGGACAAACUUGAGGCAGAAGAUACAUGGUCCCCAGGCUGACCAGUUGGAAUCCGUCCCCUGUGGACAGAUACUCCAAGGUAAAACUAAUAGCAGCAGCAAGGUGGAGCUGAGUCCUACCUGGAUAGAAUAUAAAGAGACUACAUAUUUCUUAUUCUUCAGGUCAAGGAGACCUCCCAAACUAUACAUGCUCAGAAAGGUUCCUCUGGGGUCAAAAGGGAGGGAGGGAGCCACCCCAUAAUAGGUGAUGUCAACCUCCCUGUAGGCCUCUGGGCCAGAAUCUAUCUUGGCAAAAAGAUGCACACGCAUGUCAGGAAGGGCGCUAGGACAGGUUAGGUGUGAAAAAGAAUCGAGAUAAUUGGCUAAAGGUAAACAAAGACGCAGAAGAAAUGCCCUAUAUAAGUGAUUUGAAUCACCUCUCUGGUGCGCUCUUCCUCAUUAGGGAGGAUGACCACACCCUUUAUCUCCGGGUGUGUAUCUCUGCCUUGCUUCUGUCUUAAACUGUUUCUCCCUCCAACUUGUGCUGUGGCUCUAAUAAUAAACUUUGAACCUGUUUUUACAG